AAAAACUGUUAGACUUCCCUCCUUCGGGUCCUUUGGCUAGAGAGAGAAAUUUGGGGUUGGCUUUGUUGGUGUUCUUCCAUUACUAUUUCUAGAUUGUUGACUUCUUCAGUUUCCAGUCUUGGACACAUGAUGUGAAAAGAAAGUCCAGGAAAGUCAUCAACACAUCGUUCUUUGAUCCUGAGGAUUCCAGUCUGCCUUUUUCUCUCCACCAUUCACAGUCUUAUGUAUUUACCUAGUGGGAAGAAGAAGAAAAAUAGUCUACUCCAUUGCAGCAUAUCCCUACUAUGGUUUAU
rnacentral:lncRNA from 1 species